rnacentral:rRNA from 1 species
UACGUAGGGCGCAAGCGUUGUCCGGAUUUAUUGGGCGUAAAGAGCUCGUAGGCGGUUUGUCGCGUCUUCCGUGAAAACUGGGGCGUAACUUCCAGCUUGCGGUGGAUACGGGCUGACUGGAGUGCGGCAGGGGAGACUGGAAUUCCUGGUGUAGCGGUGAAAUGCGUAGAUAUUCGGAGGAACACCAGUGGCGAAGGCGGCUCACUGGUCCGGUACUGACGCUGAGGUGCGAAAGCGUGGGGAGCAAACAGG